rnacentral:rRNA from 1 species
UACGUAGGGUGCGAGCGUUGUCCGGAAUUACUGGGCGUAAAGAGCUCGUAGGUGGUCUGUCGCGUUGUUCGUGAAAUCUCACGGCUUAACUGUGAGCGUGCGGGCGAUACGGGCAGACUAGAGUACUGCAGGGGAGACUGGAAUUCCUGGUGUAGCGGUGGAAUGCGCAGAUAUCAGGAGGAACACCGGUGGCGAAGGCGGGUCUCUGGGCAGUAACUGACGCUGAGGAGCGAAAGCGUGGGGAGCGAACAGG